UACCAGCACCCCGAGUGGUCGGGACGAUUAUUGGGCCUAAAGCAUCCGUAGCCGGUCAUGCAAGUCCUCCGUUAAAUCCACCUGCUUAACAGAUGGGCUGCGGAGGAUACUACAAGGCUAGGAGGCGGAAGAGGCAAGCGGUACUCAGUGGGUAGGGGUAAAAUCCUCUGAUCCAUUGAAGACCACCAGUGGCGAAGGCGGCUACCUGGACCGGUUCUGACGCUGAUGCGCGAAAGCGUGGGUAGCAAACAGG
rnacentral:rRNA from 1 species